ACUAGCAUGACCUAUUCAUGUCUCCUAAAAUCAUUGUCUUAAUCUUUGGGGUUCAUCAUAAUUUUAGAUAUAAUAAGAUGCAGCUAAUAUGAUGAAUCAAUACUUCAAAUAAUAAAUAUCAUUACAUGAGUUAGAAAAUCAUAAAAAAAAAAUCUCGUUGCAACACUUACGAUUGGCUUAUAGGGCACUCUUCUUUAAGCAUACUCACUGUGGGU
rnacentral:lncRNA from 1 species